rnacentral:misc_RNA from 1 species
GAUGAAGAACGUAGCAAAAUGCGAUACUUGGUGUGAAUUGCAGAAUCCCGUGAACCAUCGAGUUUUUGAACGCAAGUUGCGCCCGAAGCCUUUUGGCCGAGGGCACGUCUGCCUGGGCGUCACGCAUCGCGUCGCCCCCCACAAUUCUCCGUAAAGGGAACUUGUGCUUUGGGGGCGGAUAUUGGUCUCCCGUGCUCAUGGCGUGGUUGGCCGAAAUAGGAGUCCCUUCGAUGGACGCACGAACUAGUGGUGGUCGUAAAAACCCUCGUCUUUUGUUUCGUGCUGUUAGUCGCAAGGGAAACUCUAAGAAAACCCCAACGUGUCGUCUUUUGACGGCGCUUCGACCGCGACCCCAGGUCAGGCGGGACUACCCGCUGAGUUUAAGCAUAUCAAUAAGCGGAGGA